CGAACGCUGGCGGCGUGCUUCACACAUGCAAGUCGACCGGAAAGGCCUUGCUUUUGUGGGGUGCUCGAGUGGCGAACGGGUGAGUAACACGUGAGUAACCUGCCCUUGACUUUGGGAUAACUUCAGGAAACUGGGGCUAAUACCGGAUAGGAGCUCCUGCUGCAUGGUGGGGGUUGGAAAGUUUCGGCGGUUGGGGAUGGACUCGCGGCUUAUCAGCUUGUUGGUGGGGUAGUGGCUUACCAAGGCUUUGACGGGUAGCCGGCCUGAGAGGGUGACCGGCCACAUUGGGACUGAGAUACGGCCCAGACUCCUACGGGAGGCAGCAGUGGGGAAUAUUGCACAAUGGGCGGAAGCCUGAUGCAGCAACGCCGCGUGCGGGAUGACGGCCUUCGGGUUGUAAACCGCUUUCGCCUGUGACGAAGCGUGAGUGACGGUAAUGGGUAAAGAAGCACCGGCUAACUACGUG
rnacentral:rRNA from 1 species